UACGGGGGGAGCAAGCGUUGUUCGGAUUUACUGGGCGGUAAAGGGCGCGUAGGCGGCCACCGCAAGUCGAUUGUGAAAUCUCCGGGCUUAACCCGGGAAAGGUCAACCGAUACUGCGGGGCUAGAGUGGCAGAAGGGGCAACUGGAAUUCUCGGUGUAGCGGUGAAAUGCGGCAGAUAAUCAGGAGGAACACCAAUUGCGAAGGCAGCUCGCUGGGACGUAAGCUGACGCUGGAGACGCGAAAGCGUGGGGAGCAAACAGG
rnacentral:rRNA from 1 species